CCUCCAUAUCUCUUUUCGCCAGAACCCUCACCGCCAGCUCUCCUCUCUUUCUCUCUCUCACUGCCGGAUCUAUCUAUCUCACGGCCACUUCACCUUUUAAACUAUGUAACCUGUCUCCACAGAGCUCGUGCGACGCUUGCUACACCACCACCACCACCACGGGUUGGAGGAGGCAAGGCAAGACGAGCCCGGAACCACACCACCACGGGAGGUGAAGGAUGGAGAAGAAGCUUGAUGGUUUAGGAGACAAGGCCAGCCAUUGUCGCAGUUGGCGUGGUUGUGCGGCGGUCGCAGUUGUA